UACGAAGGGGGCUAGCGUUGCUCGGAUUUACUGGGCGUAAAGGGCGCGUAGGCGGACAUUUAAGUCGGGGGUGAAAGCCCGGGGCUCAACCUCGGAAUUGCCUUCGAUACUGGACGUCUUUGAGUGUGAGAGAGGUGUGUGGAACUCCGAGUGUAGAGGUGAAAUUCGUAGAUAUUCGGAAGAACACCAGUGGCGAAGGCGACACACUGGCUCACUACUGACGCUGAGGCGCGAAAAGCGUGGGGGAGCAAACAGG
rnacentral:rRNA from 1 species